rnacentral:rRNA from 1 species
UACGGAAGGCAGCAGUGGGGAAUAUUGCACAAUGGGCGCAAGCCUGAUGCAGCCAUGCCGCGUGUAUGAAAAAGGCCUUCGGGUUGUAAAGUACUUUCAGUCGUGAGGAAGGUGUUAAGGUUAAUAACCUUAGCAAUUGACGUUAGCGACAGAAGAAGCACCGGCUAACUCCGUGCCAGCAGCCGCGGUAAUACGGAGGGUGCGAGCGUUAAUCGGAAUUACUGGGCGUAAAGGGCACGCAGGCGGUUAAUUAAGUUGGAUGUGAAAUCCCCGGGCUUAACCUGGGAAUGGCAUUCAAGACUGGUUAGCUAGAGUCUUGUAGAGGGGGUAGAAUUCCAUGUGUAGCGGUGAAAUGCGUAGAGAUGUGGAGGAAUACCGGUGGCGAAGGCGGCCCCUGGGACAAAGGACUGACGCUCGAUGUGCGAAAGCGUGGGGAGCAAACAGGGAUUAGAUACC